AAUGAUAUUGAAAAAUCGCCACAAUAAUAGGGAUUUUCCGGUGUAGAAUGAUUGCUCUCACAGGAUUUAUUGGUGGAGACCGCGACAGAGCAGGAUGGCUCAGUCAGUAAUAUCACCGUGCAGCCCACAGUUUUUCAGGCAUUGACACUAGCAGUACGUAAAGCGAGUCAAUCUAUAUGCAGUUAAGAAGAAAACGAUAAUAGAAGAUCCUUGCUUU